CGCCGCGGGUGAGGAAGGGCAUGCGGUUGAUGGCGAUGGGCACGGUGCCGUGCUUGCUGUGGAAGUGGUGGACGUGGUGGGUGGUGCUGAGGCUGGAGGAGACCCGGGCCCCCUCGGCCGCCCCCAGCAGUAGCGGCAGCAGCAGGAGCGGCAGCAGAGGUGGCGGCGGCGGCGUCGGGGGCCCGGCCAGGGCGGGGGGGCGGCGCGGGCACCCCCCCGGCCCGCUCCCCCCGGGGGGCAUUUCGGCCCGGGGGCGGCCGCCUCACAGCCCCAUGGCCGGGGGCGGGGACGCGGGGCUGCGCAGCCCCGCGAAGCCCCCCUCCGGCUCCGAGCCCCGGGAGGGGGGGUAGGGGUGAAGAGAAGGAAAACCAGAGCCCAAGCCUCGGUCCGGAGCCAACGAAAUCAACUGGAUCCCGCCGGGGAAUCCGAGGUCCGCGGAGCGGCAACGCCAAGGUCCAGGACGCCUGGGUCCAUCUCGAGGAGCUAAGGGUCUGCCCGCAUCCCGGCGGGGUCGGAGCGGCGCAGAGGGCCGUCAGAAACCCGGGGGAGCGCCCGGGGGAGGGGGCAUGGUGCCGGGUGGAGAGGUUCGGCCGAGGAAGCCACUUCUUCUAGGUGCCCCUCCACUGGGAUCUGCCUCCCCCCACUCCCCACCGCAGAGUUUUGGGGACCUCUGGGAAGCACCUGUCAUAGCCCAAGAGCCCCGUGAGCCCGACGGGAACGCCUGAAUGCAGUCAGCACCCAGGACAGCUCCCCUGUUGCCCAGGUCACCUCCCCAACCUUGUGGGAGGACGUGGCCCCAUUUGGCCCCUGGCCCUUCAGAAGUGAAGAAAGGGGUCCCCAGAAGAGAAGGAAGGCUUCGAGGUGGAACAUGGCUCUGUGAGGAAAGAGACACUGCAGCCUGCAAAGCGGGGCUGGGGCCCCCUGAAGCCUUGUCCGCCUGCCCUCUCCAUCCCAUCCUUGUGCCCCAGGCUCUGGAAUAGAGACUGACACAGCUCUGAGCAGGCAGAAAAUUUAUGGUCCCAGAGGGAAGGAGGGAGGAGCCGGUGGCGGUGAGAGGAGAGGAAGGGAAACCGCCUAGAGGCCAAUCAAUAUCAGUGAGUGGGAAGUGGAGAGAGUUGGAGGGGGUGACGUUGGGGAGCCAGGGGGGGAGACGGAGGGUAAAAGAGGAGAGGGAGAGGUGUGCAAGACAUCAAUAGAGCCUGCGGAGAUGAACAGAGCAAGUGGAGAGAUGAGAAGAGGAGGGCAGGCAUGGGGAAGAGCUGAUAUCCUGGGAGAGGGGCGUUCUGGAAGACAGAACCCUGAGCAGGCCUGAUGGGAGCACCUGGGUCCCAAACCCCAGUUCUGGAAUUUCAGCCCCAUGUCAAGCGGUGUCCCUCCUUCUAGCUUCCCUUCCUCCCUCAUUUCGUAUUCUGUUCUCCAUUCUCUCCCCCACUUUCCUCUCUCUCAUGGCAGAGAUGGGUUCUCUCCUCUGAUCUCUCCUGCCUUCCCAGAGCAGACUACUGAACUUUAAAGGGACACAGAGGUCCUGCACACCCCAUGUUACAGACGGAGAAACUGAGGCCACAAGCUGGGAAAGGUUGUCCUGAAUGAAGGUCAGACGUCUCCCCACCCCAGUCUCUCCCCCACCAGACAACCCCAACGCUCUGAGGACACCCUGGCCAUUCCCACCCUCCUCCCUCUCUUCCGGCUCUGGGCCCCUUCAUGCCCCGUGCUGUUCCCAGGGCCUUCACACUCAGGCAGGGUGAACUGAACAGGCCUCUCGGCCAGGUUCCUGCUUGACCUUGUGCAGCGGCUGGGCCCCAAGAAGACCAGCCAUAGAGGGACAGCACGAACAAGACACAGAGCCGAACGUGGAGAAUUAGGAGGCACGAUCCCAAGAGAAGAGGGAAUUACGGUUUGGGAAGUAAUGGCACAGCCCCCAGCCCCAGGUUCCUGCCCUGCCCUUCCGGGGCAGAGAUCUCAGAAGGUCCCCCAGGGCCGGUAUCGGGGGAAGCAGCAGGCAGAAUCCCAGCAGCUGCCGGUUGCACCCACCUUGUCUUGACCUCCACGGCUCUGCUCAGGCCUGCCACCAGACACAGACCAGUGUUCGGGGAUGGUGAUUCUUCCCAAGAUAUGCCCUGCUCCCCAGCCCCGAGUCUCCCUGCCUCCCACCUUCCUGGAACCUGAAGAAGCUGUUCCAGCCUCUCUUCCCACCCUCGCUGAAAGAUGACAUAACUCCCUAAAUUCCCAACAAUCUCUAUGCCCGCUUCCAGAAAGCUCCGGUGUGUGCCAGUGUAGUAGUGACAGUGGGCAGCAGUACUUCUUGACCUUGAUCCUUUGCAUCCCAGGCAAGAAAUGCCCACUAUUAGGGGCGCCUGGGGGGCUCAGUCGGUUGAGCAUCCGACUCCGGCUCAGGUCAUGAUCUCGCGGUUCGUGAGUUUGAGCCCCGCGUCGGGCUCUGUGCUGACAGCUCGGAGCCUGGAGCCUGCUUCCGAUUCUGUGUCUCCCUCUCUGUCUGCCUUCCCCCACCCUCCAUUCACACUCUGUCUUUGUCUCUGUCUGUCUGUCUCUCUCUCUCAAAAAUAAAUAAACAUUUAAAAAAUUAAAAAAAAAAA